GACGUAGGAUGCAAGCGUUGUCCGGAUUUAUUGGGCGUAAAGAGUUCGUAGGCUGUUUGUUAAGUCUGAUGUUAAAGACCGGGGCUCAACCUCGGAAAUGCAUUGGAUACUGGCAGACUGGAGUGCAGUAGAGGCUAGUGGAAUUCCCAGUGUAGCGGUGAAAUGCGUAGAUAUUGGGAAGAACACCGGUGGCGUAGGCGACUAGCUGGGCUGUAACUGACGCUGAGGAACGAAAGCCAGGGGAGCGAAUGGG
rnacentral:rRNA from 2 species